UCCUUCGUAGUGUAGUGGUCAGCACGCUUGGCGCGUAACCGAGAGGUCCGUGGUUCGAUUCCUGGCAAUGGCA
rnacentral:tRNA from 1 species